UCCCAGUAAAGAAUCAUUCAUGUGUCUUGCUUCCUUUUCAAGUACUAGAGAUGAACUCACUGAGGCUGACUGAAACAAAAGAUGAAAACUUGUUCCAGGAGACUGUCUUAGAGAC